UCCUUUGCCAUCUUCUGGAACCUGGGCAGGUCAAGUUCAAGCCAGGGUUUCACCUGAGGAGGUGCAUUCACCCCAGCCAAGAGCAGAGCAGUGCUGCAGGGAGAGGAUGAGUCACACACAGGUCUACCUGUGGCUUUGCUGCCAAUGAGCUGGACCUUUGCAGGGAGAUUAGUGGUGCAGGCUGGGCAGCAUCAGGUGGAGCCUGACCCCAGCUCUCCUGCCCUGCUCCCGUGAACUCAGGGAGGUCAAUUGUUAUGAAAUGUGCAGGGCAAAGCUGGCAAAAGGAUGAUGUCCUGGGCUACACCAGUGAUUCCCCCUGGUAACUGACCCACUUCACUCAUUUUACUGACAAAAGACAACCAGCAACUGAGUACAGGGAUAGGGAAAAUGUGGGGGAUGCAUGAUCAUGAUUUAUCCUGAUCUCUGUCACUCCUGCUCCAUUUAUCAUAGAAUACCCUGAGUUAGAAAGGACUAACAGACUAUUGAAGUCCACCUCCUUAUCCACUGGUGUGCCAGGGAUCAGGAUCUGUCCCUGGCUGCCUGGUAUCAGCUGCUGUUGAUUCAUCUCAGAAGGUGAGAGCCCAGUGCCCUGCUCACACCCCAGCUGGCUGUACAGACCCCUGAGCUGACAUCUUUGUGCCAAAUCCAAUGAUAUAACGUUUCAUGAAGAGGAUUUCUCCAUUCCCCCUCCCUUCUUUUUUUGCUUUAUCUCUUCUUUCUAUCUUCAGCCUGUCAGGACUUUCACAUACCUGCAGCUGACAGCUAAGGGAUCAGGAACUUUGAUGUUGUAAGGGAUAUUUUAUCUCAGGUAAUUCUCACCAAUUCCUACCUUAUUGUGUAGGAUAUCCAAGGACUCCGGGAGUGAGCAACGCCUUUGUCUGGUAAGAUCAGAGCAAUUUGCAAGCUUUUCUGGGAACAAGGUCCAAUAAAGGGACUUUAGAGAUAUAAUCUGUCAACCCCAUUGAGCAGCACUGUGACAGCAGCCUUAGAUUAUUGACAGUUUAAGCAUCACCCCGGACAGAACAAGACUGAGGGCACACAGUUAGUUGAGAUUAUUUGCAGUAAGACAUUGUUUGCUGAGGAAGCAUAGGAAACC